AUAGUUGUAUUCAAAACGAAAAAAGGAAAAACUAAUAUUAAAAUAGGAGAUUACACGUUUUACAGGAAGCCAGGGAGAGGCACUUCGGAAAAGAUUAGUUGUCAUCUUGACAUCGAAUAGAGGUAAUAAGAUGGUUUCUGUGGACGGUUAUAAAUUCACUCGGAUGACGGACAGGAGGAGACCGACCGGCGUUAAGUCUAGAUGGGUGUGCUCGAUCCGAUCUCAGUCACGAUGCACCGCCAAGUUAUACACCGUAGAUGACGUCAUAGUUAAAUGUGAUAACAUACACAAUCACCCGCCUAGCAAAUAAAAUAACACAUUACUUUUAAUUCAUUUACUAUACAUUAAAACUGGACGUUUAAUAAAUAUAUACUUAGUUUAAAUCAUUAUGAUUUUAAUGAAUUUUUCGUAUAGUUUUUAUUGAAAGUUAAAUGUUUUAAUUAGCGAAUGAAGAACGUCGUUAGAAUCGGUAAGAGUAUUUAUUUUUAUUUGAUAAAUUAAAUAAGCUUCGAACGUAAGGAAUUGAUGUCGUUGUUAGUAAUAGAUGUAAUUAUAUAAUAAAUAAUAAAAACAAA